AACGAACGCUGGCGGCAUGCCUAACACAUGCAAGUCGAACGAGACCUUCGGGUCUAGUGGCGCACGGGUGCGUAACGCGUGGGAACCUGCCCUUAGGUUCGGAAUAACUCCCCGAAAGGGGUGCUAAUACCGGAUAAUGUCUUCGGACCAAAGAUUUAUCGCCUUUGGAUGGGCCCGCGUUGGAUUAGCUAGUUGGUAGGGUGAAAGCCUACCAAGGCGACGAUCCAUAGCUGGUCUGAGAGGAUGAUCAGCCACACUGGGACUGAGACACGGCCCAGACUCCUACGGGAAGCAGCAGUGGGGAAUAUUGGACAAUGGGCGAAAGCCUGAUCCAGCAAUGCCGCGUGAGUGAUGAAGGCCUUAGGGUUGUAAAGCUCUUUUACCCGGGAUGAUAAUGACAGUACCGGGAGAAUAAGCUCCGGCUAACUCCGUG
rnacentral:rRNA from 1 species